rnacentral:lncRNA from 1 species
CAGAUCAGAGGUCGUGAGUUCGAUUCUCGAAAGGCUCUUGGAAGGCAGAUAUUCUCCUAGAAGGCAGGAUUUAUCCUGGAAGUCAGGAACUCUACUGGAAGGCAAUGUGCAAAGAUGGGAAACGACUUGUUUGGCACUUUGGCAGAUCAGUUGAGGGGGCUCUUGAGCAGUGGUCAGUUUGGGACACAACCUGCGGUUUAACCUGUCUACAGCUUGGGGGGUCAAGGUGUAGACUCCAAAAUUUAAUCACUGUAAGGUAGAUACCUGAAUAUCAAAAAAA